rnacentral:rRNA from 1 species
GAUGAACGCUGGCGGCGUGCCUAAUACAUGCAAGUCGAGCGAACAGACGAGGAGCUUGCUCCUCUGACGUUAGCGGCGGACGGGUGAGUAACACGUGGAUAACCUACCUAUAAGACUGGGAUAACUUCGGGAAACCGGAGCUAAUACCGGAUAAUAUAUUGAACCGCAUGGUUCAAUAGUGAAAGACGGUUUUGCUGUCACUUAUAGCUGGAUCCGCGCCGCAUUAGCUAGUUGGUAAGGUAACGGCUUACCAAGGCAACGAUGCGUAGCCGACCUGAGAGGGUGAUCGGCCACAAUGGAACUGAGACACGGUCCAGACUCCUACGGGAGGCAGCAGUAGGGAAUCUUCCGCAAUGGGCGAAAGCCUGACGGAGCAACGCCGCGUGAGUGAUGAAGGUCUUCGGAUCGUAAAACUCUGUUAUUAGGGAAGAACAAAUGUGUAAGUAACUAUGCACGGCUUGACGGUACCUAAUCAGAAAGCCACGGCUAACUACGUG